AAAUUGAAGAGUUUGAUCAUGGCUCAGAUUGAACGCUGGCGGCAGGCCUAACACAUGCAAGUCGAGCGGUAGCACAGAGAGCUUGCUCUCGGGUGACGAGCGGCGGACGGGUGAGUAAUGUCUGGGAAACUGCCUGAUGGAGGGGGAUAACUACUGGAAACGGUAGCUAAUACCGCAUAACGUCGCAAGACCAAAGUGGGGGACCUUCGGGCCUCAUGCCAUCAGAUGUGCCCAGAUGGGAUUAGCUAGUAGGUGGGGUAACGGCUCACCUAGGCGACGAUCCCUAGCUGGUCUGAGAGGAUGACCAGCCACACUGGAACUGAGACACGGUCCAGACUCCUACGGGAGGCAGCAGUGGGGAAUAUUGCACAAUGGGCGCAAGCCUGAUGCAGCCAUGCCGCGUGUGUGAAGAAGGCCUUCGGGUUGUAAAGCACUUUCAGCGGGGAGGAAGGCGUUAAGGUUAAUAACCUUGGCGAUUGACGUUACCCGCAGAAGAAGCACCGGCUAACUCCGUGCCAGCAGCCGCGGUAAUACGGAGGGUGCAAGCGUUAAUCGGAAUUACUGGGCGUAAAGCGCACGCAGGCGGUCUGUCAAGUCGGAUGUGAAAUCCCCGGGCUCAACCUGGGAACUGCAUUCGAAACUGGCAGGCUAGAGUCUUGUAGAGGGGGGUAGAAUUCCAGGUGUAGCGGUGAAAUGCGUAGAGAUCUGGAGGAAUACCGGUGGCGAAGGCGGCCCCCUGGACAAAGACUGACGCUCAGGUGCGAAAGCGUGGGGAGCAAACAGGAUUAGAUACCCUGGUAGUCCACGCCGUAAACGAUGUCGAUUUGGAGGUUGUGCCCUUGAGGCGUGGCUUCCGGAGCUAACGCGUUAAAUCGACCGCCUGGGGAGUACGGCCGCAAGGUUAAAACUCAAAUGAAUUGACGGGGGCCCGCACAAGCGGUGGAGCAUGUGGUUUAAUUCGAUGCAACGCGAAGAACCUUACCUGGUCUUGACAUCCACAGAACUUUCCAGAGAUGGAUUGGUGCCUUCGGGAACUGUGAGACAGGUGCUGCAUGGCUGUCGUCAGCUCGUGUUGUGAAAUGUUGGGUUAAGUCCCGCAACGAGCGCAACCCUUAUCCUUUGUUGCCAGCGGUUCGGCCGGGAACUCAAAGGAGACUGCCAGUGAUAAACUGGAGGAAGGUGGGGAUGACGUCAAGUCAUCAUGGCCCCUUACGACCAGGGCUACACACGUGCUACAAUGGCAUAUACAAAGAGAAGCGACCUCGCGAGAGCAAGCGGACCUCAUAAAGUAUGUCGUAGUCCGGAUUGGAGUCUGCAACUCGACUCCAUGAAGUCGGAAUCGCUAGUAAUCGUAGAUCAGAAUGCUACGGUGAAUACGUUCCCGGGCCUUGUACACACCGCCCGUCACACCAUGGGAGUGGGUUGCAAAAGAAGUAGGUAGCUUAACCUUCGGGAGGGCGCUUACCACUUUGUGAUUCAUGACUGGGGUGAAGUCGUAACAAGGUAACCGUAGGGGAACCUGCGGUUGGAUCACCUCCUUACCUUAAAGAA
rnacentral:rRNA from 1 species